AGUGAACGCUGGCGGUAGGCCUAACACAUGCAAGUCGAACGGCAGCACAGUAAGAGCUUGCUCUUACGGGUGGCGAGUGGCGGACGGGUGAGGGAUACAUCGGAAUCUACUUUUUCGUGGGGGAUAACGUAGGGAAACUUACGCUAACACCGCAUACGACCUACGGGUGAAAGCAGGGGAUCUUCGGACCUUGCGCGAUUGAAUGAGCCGAUGUCGGAUUAGCUAGUUGGCGGGGUAAAGGCCCACCAAGGCGACGAUCCGUAGCUGGUCUGAGAGGAUGAUCAGCCACACUGUAACUGAGACACGGUCCAGACUCCUACGGGAGGGAGCAGUGGGGAAUAUUCGACAAUGGGCGCAAGCCUGAUCCAGCCAUACCGCGUGGGUGAAGAAGCCCUUCGGGUUGUAAAGCCCUUUUGUUGGGAAAGAAAAGCAGCAGGUUAAUACCCCGCUGUUCUGACGGUACCCAAAGAAUAAGCACCGGCUAACUUCGUG
rnacentral:rRNA from 1 species